rnacentral:tRNA from 1 species
GGACCAGUAGCUCAGUCGGAUAGAGCAACGGCCUUCUAAGCCGUGGGUCAGGGGUUCGAAUCCCUUCUGGUUCGCCA